UGAGAGUGGCCUGAACUCAAAAGACAUUUAAGUAAGAUGCAUUUCUCCAUUGAUCUGUAUUAGAAAGUUUGAGACUUUUUACUAGACAUUCCGUGAGCGCACCUUGUUCAUCAGCAUCAGCAGCUUUUCUGGAGUAGAAGGUGCCCCGUGCUGCAGAAAACCCUGUAAGAAAAACGCAAAGCCGGGAUAUAUACAGACGUAGGAGAAGAGAACUGUACAACAACACUCGACAAAAUCUAUCCACUGGAAGGUGGCGGCGACUUCAGAGGAGUCUCCUGCCUUCGUUCCCUCGGCU